rnacentral:rRNA from 1 species
UACGAAGGGGCUAGCGUUGCUCGGAAUCACUGGGCGUAAAGGGUGCGUAGGCGGGUCUUAAGUCAGGGGUGAAAUCCUGGAGCUCAACUCCAGAACUGCCUUUGAUACUGAAGAUCUUGAGUUCGGGAGAGGUGAGUGGAACUGCGAGUGUAGAGGUGAAAUUCGUAGAUAUUCGCAAGAACACCAGUGGCGAAGGCGGCUCACUGGCCCGAUACUGACGCUGAGGCACGGAAAGCGUGGGGAGCAAACAGG